rnacentral:rRNA from 1 species
UUGGAGGGCAAGUCUGGUGCCCGCAGCCGCGGUAAUUCCAGCUCCAAUAGCGUAUAUUAAAGUUGUUGCAGUUAAAAAGCUCGUAGUUGAAUUUCGGGAUCAAUGUUUCGGUCAUGCCGUUGGUAUGUACUGAUACUAUUGAUUUCUCACCUUCUAAAGAACCGUAAUGCCAUUAAUUUGGUGUCACGGGGAAUUAGGACUGUUACCUUGAAAAAAUUAGAGUGUUUAAAGCAGGCUCACGCUUGAAUACAUUAGCAUGGAAUAAUGAAAUAGGACAUCCGAUUCUAUUUUGUUGGUUUCUAGGAUCGAUGUAAUGAUUAAUAGGGAUAGUUGGGGGCAUUAGUAUUCAAUUGUCAGAGGUGAAAUUCUUGGAUUUAUUGAAGACUAACUACUGCGAAAGCAUUUGCCAAGGAUGUUUUCAUUAAUCAAGAACGAAAGUUAGGGGAUCGAAGACGAUCAGAUACCGUCGUAGUCUUAWCCAUAAACUAUGCCGACUAGGGAUCGGAUGAUGUUAAUUUUUUAAUGACUCAUUCGGCGCCUUACGGGAAAC